UGGUCCCCUCUGUGAUGGUUCAUUUUGUGUCAACUUGACUGGCCGUGGGGUGCCGGAAAAAUUGGACACGAUUUCCAGGUGUGUCUGUGAGGGUGCGUCUAGCUGAGAUGAGCGCCUGAAUGGGUGAACCCCGUCAAGCAGACACCCCUCCCCAGUCUGGAUGGGCCCCCUCCAGUCAGCUGAGGCCUGAAUAGCACAAUGGACAGAGGAAGGGGGAAGCUCCCCCUUUUGCUUCAUUAUUGAACUGGGACAUCCCGCCUCAUCUCUGGCUCCGACUGCGAUUCGCAUCAGGGGCUUCCCUGGUUCCCAGGCCUUCGGACUCAGACCGAAUCACAUCAUCGACUUUCCUGUGCCUCCAGCUUGCCGGUGGCAGAUCAUAGGACUUCUCAGCAGCCAUAAUUGUGGGAGCCCAGUCCUUUCUCUUUAUUGGGUGUCUUUCCCUGGAGAGUCACAGCUAAUGUCCCCCUUCUUUUGUCCUGGAGCAUAAUAAAUCAAACAAUAGGGCUAAAGCAUGGCCCCUCUUAUGAGACCUUCUGAAAUAUACUUCGUUAUGGGACCUCCCAGGAUGGCUUGUCCUGAUCUGAGUAUCUGAGUUCUUUAAUUGAGGGAGAGAGCUUCCUGUAAUGAGGGUUUUGUCUGGGUAGGUAGGUUAUGCAAUGGCCCAACAGCCCCCAUGUCUCAGAAGCUUAGCGGAACCAAGUGUGUUUCUUGCUCACACGAUGAGAAUUGGCAAGGAGUCUUGUUUUCUGUCUGCGCAUUGUGGUCACUGGGAGUCAGUUCUAGGUUUUGCCUCCUGGAUCGUGUAGCCGAGAAAGGAAACUAAGUGAAUCCCAUCCUGGAUAUAAACGCAGCCACCCAGAAGUCACAGAUUCCUGGCACUCACUUGAGGAUCUGGUGGAACGCUUCAGGCUGGAGCAGAGAACAGCAAAGCCACAUGGCAGCUCUGAAGGUUCAUGGCUGGGUUAUUGCGCCUUGGGUUAGAAACACAGCUGCCGAUAUCUGGGGCUGCAGGUUUAAGAAUCCAAGGCCAGGAGCUCAGGUCAGGAAAGCAUUCUAGAGCGGGAGAAUUCGAAGUAAGUCUUAGCUGGGUGAGAACAAAUUCCUCAGCCAUAACAACACUUUGAAAAGGCAGACAGCCAAGCCUCUCUGAGUCUCCAGAAUGGCCAUCUAGAAACUUUCCUCUUCCAUUGGAUAUUUAUUCAAAUGUUAAUUCCAAUGGACACAGAGGGUCAAGUUUCUUAUAACCCCCUCAUGGUUGGGUUCAAUUCCUGACUUCAAAGAACUUCAAACUGAGUAGAUUCUGACACUUUCAAAUUAUUUCACCGUAUUAGAGACACAGACCCUGAAUUUUACUCUAUACUUUAUGGCCACCAGAAAUUAUAGAUGUGAAAACAGUUAUAUAUAAGCAUCUAUUAAUAGCCCCAUAAUAAAUUAGUGAGGGGGUCGAUAGAGGUGAAAUGUUGGCUAGUUACUGAGAACUUCCUUUCUGCUAGCCAUCAGAUAUGCAUCAUAUUAUUUGGUUCUUACAAAAGCCUGUGAAUGCGUCAUGAGGAAUUUGAUGCUCAAAGGCUGUUUACCAACUGCUUACCAUGGCCUAUGCCCUGUGUAUUGCAUAUGUUGCAUGGAUUAUGUCAUUUUGUUCUCAUAAAAACUUCGAGCAACCACCAAAAGGUUGGGAAAUUCUGCCAAAAGUCAGAGCGCUAACAUAGAGGAGUGGAUUUCUGGAUUGAGUUUGUCUGUUUGCAAGGAUUAAUUUGUAACAGAAAACCCUACCAACUGUCGUUUCAAGCGUGAAGAUAUUAAUUGCUUUCUCCACAAGAAGUCUGGAGUUGAGUUAUCAAAAUCCUAGGCACCACCAUGUCUCAUUUUGGCCGUGGCAAUAGCUUCCAACUUGAUUUCUUCACUUCCGCUCCAGAUUUCCUAGAAUAUAUUGUCUGCAGAGUACUUAGAAGAGAGCAGAAACAUCCAGGCAAUAGAAUCCCUCUGAUUGCAAGUGCCAGUUGCAUGAUGCCUGCAAGCAAGCUGGCUUUCCUUUCUACAUGUACACAGCAAGAGAGCUUGUCUAGAGACAGACAUUUCAUUUCCGAGGCAGCCCGGAAGAAUCCCUCUGAUGCUAUGCAGGAUUGAGAAAUUCAUCUCAUUUUCCUUCACCAACCGCGUGAUGAAAUUCAUACUCUGUACCACACCCCAGCUCCUGGUAACAAUAGCAAUAAAUAAAAACUGUUUUCA